AUUCCACUCAAGCCCACUUGCUUGGUGUUGGGAGACUACGUCUUCGUAUCUCCCCAAAGACAGCGGCGGAGUCGUGUCAUCCUCUGAGCUUAGUAAUUACUUCUAGCUUGCGAGCGAGGCGCGUCCCCUGCCGUAAAACCCCCAUCUUUUUAU
rnacentral:misc_RNA from 1 species